UAAGGUUUAAAUGGAAAAUCCAAGAAUGAGAGGCAAGGAGAUGAUGGAAGGGGGAGAGAGAGACAUGAGAUGCAAGUUGAAUGUAGAGCGGCUGUCAAUGCAAGGGGCAAAUGAGUUAAUUCAUCAAGAGAUAUAAUUUGCAAGAGAGGCUCUUGGCCGCCAGAAUAGUGUCAAAUUCUAUUGGACUUUCUUUGCCAACAUCCUGAUUUUGGGUUCCUCAAUGAGAUUCCCCCUAAAUAAGUGGAGGGAGUAGCGUGGACGUGGGGUCCGAGACACAACGGCAGUAGGAUGAGGAAAGCGGUAGCAGGCAGCGAGUGUCAGUGAAACUAAAGUCUGUUUGCCGAAGACGCGGGAACAUGGCCGAUAGUUGGGCGGUUUCCACCCUGCGGAAGACCCUCCCUUUCUCCUGCCCCAGCCUACUUUCCACAUCUUCUUCCCCUUCACCGUCGACCUCGUCUAUGGCUUCGUUUCCUUCACAGUAUCACCAAUGUCGUUGUUCCUCGGACGCUAAGCCUAGUCACCCGCAACCCGCAUUGCUCGUCUUUUCAGGCGGGACAGCGUUCAAUGGCGUCGCGGAAGAGCUUAAGAACUUUACCACUCGUGUCGCUCAUGUUCUCCCUGUUUCUGAUGAUGGUGGAAGUACGGCUGAAAUUGUCCGCGUCCUUGGGGGUCCUGCUGUUGGAGACAUACGUUCCAGGUGUCUGAGAUUGUCUAAUCACAGUACGGCGGAGGCUCUUGCGGUUCGCAGAUUACUUGGUCAUCGUCUAUCACUUGAUCCGCAUCAUGCUAAAUCAGAAUGGUAUUCUAUUGUGGAGGGUGAUCACUCUCUAUGGAGAGGUGUGUCAAGACCCUAUAGGGAGACUAUUCGAGCCUUUCUUGCUUAUUUCCAGAAUCAGAUCAUUCGGCGAUCCAAUGAAUCAUUUUGUUUCAGCAAUGGCAGUGUUGGGAAUUUCUUUUUUGCAGGAGCACGUAUAUUUUUUCAGUCCCUGGAUGCUGCAAUAUUUUUGUUUUCUCGUGUAUCAGAAAUUCCCUCUGAUAGCCUGGUCUUACCAGUGAUUUCAACCAAUGAUAGGCUCACAUUAGGAUGUGAAUUAUGGGAUGGAACUAUAAUACGGGGACAGAAUGAAAUUUCUCAUCCAACCAGUGGAUCCAUGGAGCCCGUUAAAAAGGAAAACUCUUCAACUCCAGCACUUCCUUCAAGAAUAAAGCGAGUGUUCUACAUGUCAAGUGAAGGGAAAAAUUUGCUUCAUGAGGUCUUUCCUGCUGCUAAUCCUGCUGUACUAGAGCAGUUGAAUAAUGUGGAUUGCAUUGUUUAUGCCAUGGGUUCUCUUUUUACUUCUAUCUGCCCUUCACUGGUGUUGCUGGGGAUUGGAGAGAUCAUAUCUUCAAGAUCCUGUCUAAAGGUACUUAUGUUAAAUGGCACACAUGACCGGGAGACAAGUGGUUUUUCAGCUUCAUGCUUUGUUGCUGCCAUUACAGAUGCUCUCAAUCGAACAUAUGGAGAUCCCUGUAAUCGCUUGCAGAACCUGCCUAGACAGUAUAUCAAUACUUUGUUGGUCCCAAGAGAUGGUGAAAUUCCAGUUGAUGAAGAAUGUUUGGCUUCCCAAGGAAUACGUGAAGUGAUAGCUGUUGACUCGAUACGUGAUCCUAAAGUUGGAGUGAUAUAUGACCCCAAAUCAUUGAUACAAGCUCUUGCUGAUCUAAUAAACAGAUACAUGAAGUCACAGGUUACUUUGAGGCAAGCCAAAUCUUUUGCCAUGUGACUGUCGAGUCGAGUCCUGUGGCUCACUAUUCCCAAGGUAUAAGCAAUCGGAAAAUGUCCGGUGAACAGCAAAUUUUCCAUGGCGCAGCUUCCAUCUUCUUUCUGAUGUUAAAUGACUGGUCUUGAUUUCAGGUGAUUCUCUCUGUAUUCAGUUCAGACGCCGCUGAUAUAUCCUGUUAAUUUGAUCAUCAAUUGUUGAGAAAGUAUCUGUUUUACUUUGUGUACAUAUCGUGUACAUAAUCUUGAACCUUCGGUAUAUUUUAGCGUUCAUUUUCUUUUUCCCGGUUUAUCUUCCCCGUGGAGUAUUUAAUGAAUCGAGUUUUGGUUCAUUGAUUGAUGUCGUGUUUGGGAUGGUGUUCUGUGCCCGUCAUCCCUAAAACGUGCGUUUCUUUAAGCAAUACUUAGACAUGAAUUUAUUUAUUUUUUUAUUUCCCACCUAGUAUCUUGAAAAGUGUGGGUAUCUUGGGUUCUUUGUCUGCCCACUCUAUUUCAGAUUAAUUCAGAUCUCCAUGUAGGUGGGGUCCUUUUUCAAA